rnacentral:misc_RNA from 1 species
UUCUUUUUUUUUUCUUUUUUUUUUUUUUGGUUGGGUGGGGGGGUGUGGAACAGUGAGAACUGAUGACGAAGAUCUGAAAAACUACAUAGCAAUUGACACAGCCUCUUAAGGUUUCAUAUGAACAUGAACUGGAACUAAAACUAGUGUUGAUUCUUUCUCUUGCUUUUGAAAUGUCCAUAAAUGGUCGUGCCAAUCAACUUGUGUUGAUCUAAUAGUUGGUCUUGAAGGGCUUCACCGUCUUCAGAUCACCAACGACUCCGGCAACGGAGCCAGCAGCGGCAGCUAUAGUGAUGAUAAGGGAAGCACUUAGGAUUUGGAGGCAGAGCCAUCUUGUGCUCCACUUUGGUAUCUUCUUUUGUGCUAU